AGGACGAACGCUGGCGGCGUGCUUAACACAUGCAAGUCGAGCGGAAAGGCCCUUCGGGGUACUCGAGCGGCGAACGGGUGAGUAACACGUGAGUAAUCUGCCCCUAGCUCUGGGAUAGCUCCGGGAAACCGGGAUUAAUACCAGAUACGACCACUUUAGACAUCUUCUGUGGUGGAAAGAACUUCGGCUAGGGAUGAACUCGCGGCCUAUCAGCUUGUUGGUGAGGUAACGGCUCACCAAGGCGACGACGGGUAGCCGGCCUGAGAGGGCGACCGGCCACACUGGGACUGAGACACGGCCCAGACUCCUACGGGAGGCAGCAGUGGGGAAUAUUGCGCAAUGGGCGAAAGCCUGACGCAGCGACGCCGCGUGGGGGAUGGAAGGCCUUCGGGUUGUAAACCCCUUUCAGCAGGGACGAAGCGAAGUGACGGUACCUGCAGAGAAGCGCCGGCUAACUACGCGCCAGCAGCCGC
rnacentral:rRNA from 1 species